rnacentral:rRNA from 1 species
AUUGAACGCUGGCGGCAGGCCUAACACAUGCAAGUCGAACGAGUGGCGGACGGGUGAGUAAUGUAUGGGAAUCUGCCCGAUGGGGGGGGAUAACUACUGGAAACGGUAGCUAAUACCGCAUACUAUCGGAUGUGCCCAGAUGGGAUUAGCUAGUAGGUGGGGUAACGGCUCACCUAGGCGACGAUCGCUAGCUGGUCUGAGAGGAUGACCAGCCACACUGGGACUGAGACACGGUCCAGACUCCUACGUGAGGCAGCAGUGGGGAAUAUUGCACAAUGGGCGCAAGCCUGAUGCAGCCAUGCCGCGUGUAUGAAGAAGGCCUUCGGGUUGUAAAGUACUUUCAGCGGGGAGGCGUUACUCGCAGAAGAAGCACCGGCUAACUCCGUGCCAGCAGCCGCGGUAAUUC